AAAUUGAAGAGUUUGAUCAUGGCUCAGAUUGAACGCUGGCGGCAGGCCUAACACAUGCAAGUCGAGCGGUAGCACAGAGAGCUUGCUCUCGGGUGACGAGCGGCGGACGGGUGAGUAAUGUCUGGGAAACUGCCUGAUGGAGGGGGAUAACUACUGGAAACGGUAGCUAAUACCGCAUAAUGUCGCAAGACCAAAGUGGGGGACCUUCGGGCCUCAUGCCAUCAGAUGUGCCCAGAUGGGAUUAGCUAGUAGGUGGGGUAACGGCUCACCUAGGCGACGAUCCCUAGCUGGUCUGAGAGGAUGACCAGCCACACUGGAACUGAGACACGGUCCAGACUCCUACGGGAGGCAGCAGUGGGGAAUAUUGCACAAUGGGCGCAAGCCUGAUGCAGCCAUGCCGCGUGUGUGAAGAAGGCCUUCGGGUUGUAAAGCACUUUCAGCGGGGAGGAAGGCGGUAAGGUUAAUAACCUUGUCGAUUGACGUUACCCGCAGAAGAAGCACCGGCUAACUCCGUGCCAGCAGCCGCGGUAAUACGGAGGGUGCAAGCGUUAAUCGGAAUUACUGGGCGUAAAGCGCACGCAGGCGGUCUGUCAAGUCGGA
rnacentral:rRNA from 1 species